UACGAAGGGAGCUAGCGUUGUUCGGAAUCACUGGGCGUAAAGCGCGCGUAGGCGGUUUGUCAAGUCAGAGGUGAAAUGCCGGGGCUUAACCCCGGAACUGCCUUUGAAACUGUCAGACUGGAGUCUCGGAGAGGAUAGCGGAAUUUCUAAUGUAGCGGUGAAAUGCGUAGAUAUUAGAAGGAACACCGGUGGCGAAGGCGGCUAUCUGGACGAGUACUGACGCUGAGGCGCGAAAGCGUGGGGAUCAAACAGG
rnacentral:rRNA from 1 species